CCCUAAUGGAAACGUGGAUCCACGAUUUUGAAAGGCAGAUAUUUUUUUCUUUCUCAGGGGCCCCUUUUUCGUGAGCUGAUCAGCAUUUAAUCUGUUGUAAAAAGACACUAAAGGCUUGCAUUAAUGACAUGCAAAUAUUCUUUAUACUCAUUGUAAUAUCACACAUGUCAUCUUAUAACACAGAACACAACGAAUGUAGCGGAUAUCCAGCAGGCAUGCCAAUACAAAAAGCAUAUUCAUGGACAGGCAAUUAACUCAAUCCAAAAUAAAUUAAUAAAUGUCACACUCUGUGUCCCUCAAAAGAAACACAGAC